GAUGAACGCUAGCGGCAGGCUUAACACAUGCAAGUCGAGGGGUAGAGGAAGCUUGCUUCCUUGAGACCGGCGCACGGGUGCGUAACGCGUAUACAAUCUACCUUUUACAGAGGGAUAGCCCAGAGAAAUUUGGAUUAAUACCUCAUAGUAUCUUCUGAAGGCAUCUUCAGAUUAUUAAAGUUCCAACGGUAAAAGAUGAGUAUGCGUCCCAUUAGCUAGAUGGUAAGGUAGCGGCUUACCAUGGCAAUGAUGGGUAGGGGUCCUGAGAGGGAGAUCCCCCACACUGGUACUGAGACACGGACCAGACUCCUACGGGAGGCAGCAGUGAGGAAUAUUGGACAAUGGGCGCAAGCCUGAUCCAGCCAUGCCGCGUGCAGGAAGACGGUCCUAUGGAUUGUAAACUGCUUUUAUACAGGAAGAAACACUCCCUCGUGAGGGAACUUGACGGUACUGUAUGAAUAAGCAUCGGCUAACUCCGUGCCAGCCGCCGCCGUAA
rnacentral:rRNA from 1 species